rnacentral:rRNA from 1 species
CUUGUUCUGUGACUGCGUACCUUUUGUAUAAUGGGUCAGCGACUUAUAUUUAGUAGCAAGGUUAAGUGAAUAACGGAGCCGUAGCGAAAGCGAGUGUUAACUGCGCGUUUAGUUGCUAGGUAUAGACCCGAAACCCGGUGAUCUAGCCAUGGGCAGGUUGAAGGUUGAGUAACAUCAACUGGAGGACCGAACCCACUAACGUUGAAAAGUUAGGGGAUGACUUGUGGCUGGGGGUGAAAGGCCAA